rnacentral:rRNA from 1 species
UACGGGGGGGGCAAGCGUUGUUCGGAAUUACUGGGCGUAAAGGGCUCGUAGGCGGCCAACUAAGUCAGACGUGAAAUCCCUCGGCUUAACCGGGGAACUGCAUCUGAUACUGGAUGGCUUGAGUUUGGGAGAGGGAUGCGGAAUUCCAGGUGUAGCGGUGAAAUGCGUAGAUAUCUGGAGGAACACCGGUGGCGAAGGCGGCAUCCUGGACCGACACUGACGCUGAGGAGCGAAAGCCAGGGGAGCAAACGGG